CCUACGGGAGGCUGCAGUGGGGAAUAUUGCACAAUGGGCGAAAGCCUGAUGCAGCAACGCCGCGUGAGUGAAGAAGGUCUUCGGAUCGUAAAACUCUGUCCUUAGGGAAGAAACAAAUGACGGUACCUAAGGAGGAAGCCCCGGCUAACUACGUGCCAGCAGCCGCGGUAAUACGUAGGGGGCAAGCGUUAUCCGGAAUUAUUGGGCGUAAAGAGUACGUAGGUGGUUUUGUAAGCGCAGGGUGAAAGGCCGAGGCUCAACUUCGGUUAGCCUUGCGAACUGCAAGACUUGAGUGCAGGAGAGGAAAGUGGAAUUCCUAGUGUAGCGGUGAAAUGCGUAGAUAUUAGGAGGAACAUCAGUGGCGAAGGCGACUUUCUGGACUGUAACUGACACUGAGGUACGAAAGCGUGGGGAGCAAACAGGCUUAGAUACCCCAGUAGUC
rnacentral:rRNA from 2 species